UACGUAGGGUGCAAGCGUUGUCCGGAAUUAUUGGGCGUAAAGAGCUCGUAGGCGGUCUGUUGCGUCGGCUGUGAAAAACCCGGGGCUCAACUCCGGGCCUGCAGCCGAUACGGGCAGACUAGAGUUCGGCAGGGGAGACUGGAAUUCCUGGUGUAGCGGUGAAAUGCGCAGAUAUCAGGAGGAACACCGGUGGCGAAGGCGGAUCUCUGGGCCAUUACUGACGCUGAGGAGCGAAAGCGUGGGGAGCGAACAGG
rnacentral:rRNA from 1 species